rnacentral:rRNA from 1 species
GUGAGGAAUAUUGCGCAAUGGAGGCAACUCUGACGCAGCCAUGCCGCGUGCAGGAAGAAGGCGCUACGCGUUGUAAACUGCUUUUAACCGGGAAGAAACCCCAGGACGUGUCCUGGGUUGACGGUACCGGAGGAAUAAGCACCGGCUGACUUCGUGCCAGCAGCCGCGGUAAUACGAAGGGUGCAAGCGUUAUCCGGAUUCAUUGGGUUUAAAGGGUGCGUAGGCGGAGCGUUAAGUCAGUGGUGAAAUCCUGCAGCUUAACUGUAGACUUGCCAUUGAUACUGGCGCUCUUGAGUGCGCUUGAAGUGGGCGGAAUGUGCCGUGUAGCGGUGAAAUGCUUAGAUAUGGCACAGAACACCAAUUGCGAAGGCAGCUCACUAAGGCGAUACUGACGCUGAGGCACGAAAGCGUGGGGAUCGAACAGGAUUAGAUACCCGGGUAGUCC